AGUGAACGCUGGCGGUAGGCCUAACACAUGCAAGUCGAACGGCAGCACAGAGGAGCUUGCUCCUUGGGUGGCGAGUGGCGGACGGGUGAGGAAUACAUCGGAAUCUACUCUGUCGUGGGGGAUAACGUAGGGAAACUUACGCUAAUACCGCAUACGACCUACGGGUGACAGCAGGGGACCUUCGGGCCUUGCGCGAUUGAAUGAGCCGAUGUCGGAUUAGCGAGUUGGCGGGGUAAAGGCCCACCAAGGCGACGAUCCGUAGCUGGUCUGAGAGGAUGAUCAGCCACACUGGAACUGAGACACGGUCCAGACUCCUACGGGAGGCAGCAGUGGGGAAUAUUGGACAAUGGGCGCAAGCCUGAUCCAGCCAUACCGCGUGGGUGAAGAAGGCCUUCGGGUUGUAAAGCCCUUUUGUUGGGAAAGAAAUCCAUCUGGUUAAUACCCGGGUGGGAUGACGGUACCCAAAGAAUAAGCACCGGCUAACUUCGUGCCAGCCGCCGCCGUAA
rnacentral:rRNA from 1 species